rnacentral:rRNA from 1 species
GAAAUGGAUUAGCGGCGAACGGGUGAGGAACACGUGAAGAAUCUGCCCUCCACUUUGGGAUAACACCGGGAAACCGGUGCUAAUACCGAAUAUUGAAACAUAAGUGGCAUCACUGAGUUUUGAAAGAAUUUCGGUGGAGGAUGACUUCGCGGCCCAUCAGCUAGUUGGUGAGGUAAUGGCUCACCAAGGCAACGACGGGUAGCCGGCCUGAGAGGGCGACCGGCCACACUGGGACUGAGACACGGCCCAGACUCCUACGGGAGGCAGCAGUGGGGAAUAUUGGGCAAUGGAGGAAACUCUGACCCAGCGACGCCGCGUGCGGGAUGAAGGCCUUCGGGUUGUAAACCGCUUUCAGUAGGGAAGAAGCGAAAGUGACGGUACCUACAAAAGAAGCACCGGCUAACUAUGUGCCAGCAGCCGCGGUAAUACAUAGGGUGCAAGCGUUGUCCGGAAUUAUUGGGCGUAAAGAGCUCGUAGGUCGUUUGCUACGUCGGAUGUGAAAACCUGAGGCUCAACCUCAGGCCUGCAUUCGAUACGGGCAAACUAGAGUUUGGUAGGGGAGACUGGAAUUCCUGGUGUAGCGGCGGAAUGCGCAGAUAUCAGGAGGAACACCAAUGGCGAAGGCAGGUCUCUGGGCCAAUACUGACACUGAGGAGCGAAAGUCUGGGGAGCGAACAGGAUUAGAUACCCUGGUAGUCCAGACCGUAAACGGUGGGCACUAGUUGUGGGAACCUUCCACGGUUUCUGCGACGCAGCUAACGCAUUAAGUGCCCCGCCUGGGGAGUACGAUCGCAAGAUUAAAACUCAAAGGAAUUGACGGGGGCCCCGCACAAGCAGCGGAGCAUGCGGCUUAAUUCGACGCAACGCGAAGAACCUUACCAAGGCUUGACAUAUAGGG